rnacentral:rRNA from 1 species
GUAGGGUGCAAGCGUUAAUCGGAAUUACUGGGCGUAAAGCGUGCGCAGGCGGACUUUUAAGCCAGAUGUGAAAGCCCCGAGCUUAACUUGGGAAUUGCGUUUGGAACUGGGAGUCUAGAGUCUGUCAGAGGGGGAUGGAAUUCCACGUGUAGCAGUGAAAUGCGUAGAGAUGUGGAGGAACACCGAUGGCGAAGGCAGUCCCCUGGGAUAAGACUGACGCUCAUGCACGAAAGCGUGGGGAGCAAACAGGAUUAGAUACCCUGGUAGUCCACGCCCUAAACGAUGUCUACUAGUUGUUGGGGUAGCAAUACCUCAGUGACGCAGCUAACGCGUGAAGUAGACCGCCUGGGGAGUACGGUCGCAAGAUUAAAACUCAAAGGAAUUGACGGGGGCCGCACAAGCGGUGGAUUAUGUGGAUUAAUUCGAUG